rnacentral:rRNA from 1 species
UACGUAGGGUGCAAGCGUUGUCCGGAAUUAUUGGGCGUAAAGAGCUCGUAGGCGGUUUGUCGCGUCUGGUGUGAAAACCCAGGGCUUAACCCUGGACCUGCAUCGGGUACGGGCAGACUAGAGUGCGGUAGGGGAGAUCGGAAUUCCUGGUGUAGCGGUGAAAUGCGCAGAUAUCAGGAGGAACACCGGUGGCGAAGGCGGAUCUCUGGGCCGUAACUGACGCUGAGGAGCGAAAGCAUGGGGAGCGAACAGG